UUCAAACAGCAAGCAAGCGAAUAUACCCUAAAUCCCUAAUAAUACUAAACAACAUCUAUUCUGUUUGAUUUUAUAUCACUACCGUGGAUUGUCGAAGCUUGAUACAAAGGGUUUCGAGACUUCCAUUCCUACGAUUGGCAACAAUAUGCUUGAUGAUUUUUCUAUUCUGUCCUCCACUGAUCUCCCCCGAACAACAUAUAUUUUGAUGAGUUUAGUAAGAAGCUGUACAGAUGGUGAAGCCUGCGGAAGGAACAACCACACUCGCUUUUUUCUUCUAAGGUGUCAUGGUCGCUGCUGAUUCUCGGGCUAGGAGAGGGGGUGAAUCAAUCGAGAUGAAGGAGAAGAUUGAUGUCACUAAGAAAGCCAACGACUAGUUUAAUCGUAUUUGAGUCUUGAUAACCUGAAAAGGCUUCCAUCACAUUGGUGCUUCAGCCUGUUUAUCUGACCCUGAGGAAAACACUUCUGUGGAGGGUCCUUUCGCACCUUUUAUUCUCCAUAACUCUCUUUCUCUGCUUAUGUAUUUCCAGCUUAUAAAUAUAAUUGUUCUUGCUAACUUGGACUUUAUUUAUGUACAAUUUUCUCUUUUAUUGAUAAAUGUAUUGUUAGUUGAUAUGCGAUUUACUCGCGCCUGUUCCAUAUUUCAGUGCUUCAGUGUCAAUGAUCUUUAUCAACAAAGCUGUGAUUAUGCAAUGUCCACACUCGAUGCCUUUUCUAACACUUCCGUUAGGUACUGAAGAUUUUCAACAACAAAAGCAAGUGGCUAAUUCAUCGCUUAUACAUUGUGGGAUACAAAAUGGGACACAGCAGAGCCAACGUAAUCGUUUUGGCCAUUUCAAAAAAAGCUUCUCUGCGUUUCCAUCUUCUACAAUGCUAAUGUUGUAUUUGUUCGUGCAAGGUUGAGAUGAUUCAAUAUUCUUUUAUAUAUCGCCAUCUAAAAGACUCACUCCUCAUAUUGUUAUAUUUGUUUUGAUAGCCGGUUAUAUGUUUGGUAAACGGAAUCCAACAACUCAUGUAUAUAAUAUGUUCUAGAACUAGGACUGAUUUAUUACCUUCGUAUAAACUU